UCGACGUUGAUGGCGGCGCCAGCGUUACAUAAGCCGAAUUCGGAGCCGAGUCGAAGACUCGGUUGAAGCUUGCAAGAAAGCCCCUGGCAGCGCCUCGUUCUGGCCAAGGUAUAAUCUAAUACAGGGUAACGAUGGCAGAUAGAAUCCGAGAGAGUAUGCGCCAAUAAUAUUGGCAGAUCGGGAUUGCCAAAGUAAAAUUCGUUGACAACUUUUACGAGACCUGUGACGCGGGCAAUCGGCAACCCGUCCUCAACUCGAGUCCGAAACUAGGCUAGUAGUGUAAGCUCUGCUCUGGACUGGAUUGGCCUGGACUGGACUGGGCCACUUAACGUUAGUGUGAGUCAAUGGCUGACUAAUGCGAAAUGCAGUACAGUCAACAUUCAUCGUCAGCAGUUGUUCCUUCAUACAAAUAUUAGCAGUAUAUAUCUAUUAAUGCAGAUAUAAAGAUACAACUAUGCCGAACGCCGAUCGCAAAGUUAACUAAUUAGUUCAAUUUAUCCAAAAGCAAGUAAUAGCCAUUUGAAUGGUUCCUCUAGCUUCCCCAGAAGCUGAGUUCCAAUAGGUCGGUUGACCCAAACCCGAACGCAAACCCGGCUUGAGGUUAUC
rnacentral:sRNA from 1 species